rnacentral:rRNA from 1 species
CCUACGGGAUGCCGCAGUGAGGAAUAUUGGUCAAUGGACGCAAGUCUGAACCAGCCAUGCCGCGUGCAGGAAGACGGCUCUAUGAGUUGUAAACGGCUUUUGUACGAGGGUAAACUCAGAUACGCGUAUCUGUCUGCAAGUAACGUACGAAUAAGGAUCGGCUAACUCCGUGCCAGCAGCCUCGGUAAUACGGAGGAUGCAAGCGUUAACCGGCUUUAUUGGGUUUAAAGGGUGCGUAGGCGGUCGGUUAAGUUAGAGGUGAAAUCCCGAGGCUCAACCUCGGAAUUGCCGCUGAUACUGUUCGGCUAGAGAGUAGUAGCGGUAGGCGGAAUGUAUGGUGUAGCGGUGAAAUGCUUAGAGAUCAUACAGAACACCGAUUGCGAAGGCAGCUUACCAAGCUACUUCUGACGUUGAGGCACGAAAGCGUGGGGAGCAAACAGGAUUAGAUACCCCUGUAGUC